UACGAAGGGGGCUAGCGUUGCUCGGAAUCACUGGGCGUAAAGCGCACGUAGGCGGAUCUUUAAGUCAGGGGUGAAAUCCUGGAGCUCAACUCCAGAACUGCCUUUGAUACUGAGGGUCUCGAGUUCGGGAGAGGUGAGUGGAACUGCGAGUGUAGAGGUGAAAUUCGUAGAUAUUCGCAAGAACACCAGUGGCGAAGGCGGCUCACUGGCCCGGUACUGACGCUGAGGUGCGAAAGCGUGGGGAGCAAACAGG
rnacentral:rRNA from 1 species